rnacentral:rRNA from 1 species
GAGCGGAUGACAGGAGCUUGCUCCUUGAUUCAGCGGCGGACGGGUGAGUAAUACCUAGGAAUCUGCCUGGUAGUGGGGGACAACGUUUCGAAAGGAACGCUAAUACCGCAUACGUCCUACGGGAGAAAGCAGGGGACCUUCGGGCCUUGCGCUAUCAGAUGAGCCUAGGUCGGAUUAGCUAGUUGGUGGGGUAAUGGCUCACCAAGGCGACGAUCCGUAACUGGUCUGAGAGGAUGAUCAGUCACACUGGAACUGAGACACGGUCCAAACUCCUACGGGAGGCAGCAGUGGGGAAUAUUGGACAAUGGGCGAAAGCCUGAUCCAGCCAUGCCGCGUGUGUGAAGAAGGUCUUCGGAUUGUAAAGCACUUUAAGUUGGGAGGAAGGGCAGUAAGUUAAUACCUUGCUGUUUUGACGUUACCGACAGAAUAAGCACCGGCUAACUCUGUG